rnacentral:rRNA from 1 species
GACGAACGCUGGCGGCGUGCUUAACACAUGCAAGUCGAGCGGAAAGGCCCUGCUUUUUUGGGGUGCUCGAGUGGCGAACGGGUGAGUAACACGUGAGUAACCUGCCCUUGACUUUGGGAUAACUUCAGGAAACUGGGGCUAAUCCCGGAUAGGAGCUCCUGCUGCAUGGUGGGGGUUGGAAAGUUUCGGCGGUUGGGGAUGGACUCGCGGCUUAUCAGCUUGUUGGUGGGGUAGUGGCUUACCAAGGCUUUGACGGGUAGCCGGCCUGGGAGGGUGACCGGCCACAUUGGGACUGAGAUACGGCCCAGACUCCUACGGGAGGCAGCAGUGGGGAAUAUUGCACAAUGGGCGGAAGCCUGAUGCAGCAACGCCGCGUGCGGGAUGACGGCCUUCGGGUUGUAAACCGCUUUCGCCUGUGACGAAGCGUGAGUGACGGUAAUGGGUAAAGAAGCACCGGCUAACUACGUG